rnacentral:ncRNA from 2 species
GAGGAAGCCGGUGAGAAUCCGGCGCGGUCCCGCCACUGUCAGCACGGCCGCACACCGCGGCGGUGCGAGCCAGGAACUC